UACGUAGGGUGCGAGCGUUGUCCGGAAUUAUUGGGCGUAAAGAGCUCGUAGGCGGUUUGUCGCGUCGGCCGUGAAAACUUGGGGCUUAACUCCAAGCUUGCGGUCGAUACGGGCAGACUUGAGUUCGGCAGGGGAGACUGGAAUUCCUGGUGUAGCGGUGAAAUGCGCAGAUAUCAGGAGGAACACCGGUGGCGAAGGCGGGUCUCUGGGCCGACACUGACGCUGAGGCACGAAAGCGUGGGGAGCAAACAGG
rnacentral:rRNA from 1 species